UGGCUCAGAAGUUAAAGCGUCUGCCUCCAAUGCAGGAGACCCGGGUUCGAUUCCUGG
rnacentral:tRNA from 1 species